GCUGGCACGUCGUAUCCCUCAAAGAACAUUUCCACACUGUCAGCAUACUCCCUUGGAAAUGAAAAAUUGUGUACUUACAUGCUUUGUGUACAGCGCUCUAAUGAUCGGUUGCAGCCGGGAGGAGUUGGUACAGGACAGCAUCACAGUAUAUCCUAGAGUUCUCGAGGACAGAGAAGGCAACUCCGAAAAAAUUCUCCUCAUACGUGAUGGUCAUUCUCUUAAAUUAACGAAAGCUUCAGUGCUGUCAGAGAGAGUGUCGCUGCAAUAUGGAACAAAUGAUGGCGUCAUCAACCGCUAUAUUGAUGGAAAGUAUUAUGAGAGACAUCUUUAUCAGGACUCUGAAAAACAGGCAGCAUUACUAGUGAGACCUCAAGUGGCAGGCGAUUACCAUAUUAGCGGACUGGUAAACGCUUCGCAUAUGAUUGAGCCGUUGACAACCUCAGAGAGAUCACUAUCCGGAGGAACCCCGCACAAGUUAUCAAGGUUAAACUUAUUGAAAAGAAGCCUUGACAUGACAAAAAGAACCCGAAGCCCAAGGCGGAAAAUACCCUGGUACCUAAAGAAAGAGCCCCCACUAAAGGUGCCGAAAAACUUCACCAUCGAGAUGGUGUUCAUCAGUGACUCUACCCACUCAGAGAUGUUCGACAAUGCAUCAGAGCAUAUUGAUUACGUAAUUGUGUUCAUGCUCGGGGCAAGUAUCAGCACAUAUUUCACAUUUUAUAAAACCUUGAUACAGUACUUUGCAUAUGCAUGAUCAGAUUGCAGCCAUGGCGCCCUACAUUGGCUCGUAUGCCACCUUUCCCUCGCUCCGAAUAAGCAGGCCCUAAGACAGGGACUUGAAGCAUUUUCUUUUUGUCUUAAUACACUUGGCGUAGUCCAAGGUACGACUCAAAAUUAGACUCUAGCGUUAAUGCUCACAAAAGAAAUUUCAGAAUGGUCAUCUCUCGAAAACAUGGUUCAUUAAAUUAUACUCAACGUGCACCUUAAGUCGUAAUUGAAAAUGGUCAUUAAAUUGGAUGAUCCGACAGAAAUGCACUUGUACAUUAACCUUUGGCAAGCAUCAAGUUAACCAAGCGUCUGAAGAAUGUCUGAAGGCUCCUUAACGACGGUUGUCACUACACG